UAAAGGGCUUUUCUUCGUCCGUGGGCUCAUUGACCUAUCUCUUUUCCUUUUCUUUCUUUUGCACUUGGGCCGACCCAUCUCCUUUUAUUUCAGCUCAGCCCAUGCGUGUGUCUUCUUCCUCCCCUCACGCCAACCACACUCCUGCAAAACAAGAAGAAAAGAGAAACGUACAAACAAGGGGUGAGGUAGAGGAUCGCGAGGUCAGAGAAUCGCGAAGGCAGAGGACGGCGUGAUCCCAGGUCGGAUAUCAAGCGGCCGUGAUAAGCUGGCGGUGGCAGAAACCGUGGAGAGAGAACAAAGAGCACCAGAGAGCGAGCUUGAGAGAGAGACGAUCAGGGAGAGAGCGUUUCGCCGUCGCCCGAAGUACGCCCGUUGCUUGUCAUCCGAACCAGGAGAACAGGAAAAAUAGAAGGGGGUUCUCGGCUGGUUCUGGGUUCAAGCCAAGGACAGAGGGGUGGAGAGAGCUCGAAAAUUGGAAAACCGGAGAGAGGGAGAGAAACCAAGGGGAGAGGAGGCGCCGUCGACGCUGCCCAACGCCGUCCCUGCGCCUAGCCGUAUCGUCCCGGUCAUCCCUCGACGCCGUCGCCGCACCGGAUCUCCGCCGAGUCGCUGUCGCCCACCACCAUCUGCUUCAAUGUAGUCCCGACGCUGAGCCAGUCGAGAGAGGAAAAAGAAGAGAGGAGGCCAGAGAGAGAAGGAGUCCGAGCGAGGAAGCUACUAAGGGAGAGGAAGAGAGCUUCAGCCGUCGCCUCAACUGCGCACGAGCCCCGCCUGACGACCCCUCGGCCAACGUCCUCAAAUUGGAUCCGGUACGUCCUCCUUGCGCCCUGUUUUCACCCGGUUCCGUGCAUCCCGGGCCGGAGUUUACGUUCGACUGGUUUGCGUGAACUCCGGCCCUGUCCACUCCCUCUUUGGUUGCUGUAUGUUUUAUUGUUUGUUGGUGAGAGUCUCGGUUUAGGUUCGGGUCCUAGUUGAGCUAGAAACCGCGUGAUUCGGGAGCGCCCUCCACCUGUUUGAUAGAAUGCCACAACGAGAUCCAGUCUCCGCGGUUUUGUCUUUGACUGAAAUCGAGUUGUCCGGGCGUGUCGCGCUCUUUUGUGAUAUUCCGGUGGUGUUGGAUGACCUUGGGCGUCGGUCGUGUGGUCGUUCGCUACGUUCCCAUCAUCGUUGUUGCUUGUUCGGUGUUUGGCCGAGGAGGGUAUGCUCGGCCGAUGAUGGUGACGAUCUCCGGCCAACUAGUGGCCGACGGAAGUUCGGCGGUGGAAGGGUCGCCGGUUGUUCCGGGCUGCGUUGUUGUUUGGCUGAGUCUCGAUGAGGCCAUGUUUUGGGAAGAGAAGCUUCGGGCGUGCAGUGGGCAAACACGAAGGUGGAGAAGACCAGGAAAGAAGACGACCUUAAAAAAAAAAAAAGCUUAAAAGAAAAACAAGAAAUAAAAGAAAUAAAAGAAAUAAAAAGAGUAAUGAAAACAAAUGAAAACAAAAAAACAAAAAAAAUAGAAAGGUGGAAAAGACGUGGGGAGGCAGACGUUCGGUGAAGGCGGCGUGGAUGAAGAGGAUAGUGCAGGGAAAAGACAAAACAUAGAAGAAGACAAAAAAAGAAAAAAAUUAAAAACUAAAAAAAAUUAGUUAAUUAAAAAUCUUAUUUUCUUUUUCAACCCGAUAGGGUCGAAUCUGGUUUUGGGUCGGGUCAAUGGCCGGAUUGGAUCUACCCGAUCCGAACCCUCUAUCCGAUCCGAACCCUCUAUCCGAAUAUAAUAAUAUUAAAUAUU
rnacentral:lncRNA from 1 species